UUCUCUGAUGUUAGCGGCGGACGGGUGAGUAACACGUGGAUAACCUACCUAUAAGACUGGGAUAACUUCGGGAAACCGGAGCUAAUACCGGAUAAUAUUUUGAACCGCAUGGUUCAAAAGUGAAAGACGGUCUUGCUGUCACUUAUAGAUGGAUCCGCGCUGCAUUAGCUAGUUGGUAAGGUAACGGCUUACCAAGGCAACGAUGCAUAGCCGACCUGAGAGGGUGAUCGGCCACACUGGAACUGAGACACGGUCCAGACUCCUACGGGAGGCAGCAGUAGGGAAUCUUCCGCAAUGGGCGAAAGCCUGACGGAGCAACGCCGCGUGAGUGAUGAAGGUCUUCGGAUCGUAAAACUCUGUUAUUAGGGAAGAACAUAUGUGUAAGUAACUGUGCACAUCUUGACGGUACCUAAUCAGAAAGCCACGGCUAACUACGUGCCAGCAGCCGCGGUAAUACGUAGGUGGCAAGCGUUAUCCGGAAUUAUUGGGCGUAAAGCGCGCGUAGGCGGUUUUUUAAGUCUGAUGUGAAAGCCCACGGCUCAACCGUGGAGGGUCAUUGGAAACUGGAAAACUUGAGUGCAGAAGAGGAAAGUGGAAUUCCAUGUGUAGCGGUGAAAUGCGCAGAGAUAUGGAGGAACACCAGUGGCGAAGGCGACUUUCUGGUCUGUAACUGACGCUGAUGUGCGAAAGCGUGGGGAUCAAACAGGAUUAGAUACCCUGGUAGUCCACGCCGUAAACGAUGAGUGCUAAGUGUUAGGGGGUUUCCGCCCCUUAGUGCUGCAGCUAACGCAUUAAGCACUCCGCCUGGGGAGUACGACCGCCAAGGUUG
rnacentral:rRNA from 1 species